rnacentral:lncRNA from 1 species
UGUGGUUUUUGUGGGUUUUGUUUCGUCACAUUCAACAUUUUCUUAAUUCGAACUUUGGAAAUGCAGAAACAAAACUUGAGUUUAUCAUUUUUUAAAUAAAAUUCUGCCUAAUUAAGGCAGCAAUACAUAUAUUAGCUUUUUUUUUUUCUUUCCGAUCAAGAUGCAUAUAUUAAUUAGCUUAUUACUUAUACAUCCCGAAGAAAAAAUAAAAUAGAACUACAUAUAUAUAGAACUACAUAUAUUUACAAAUUAAAUAUAAAUGUACAUUAUUGUUUCAAAUAUUGAUCCGUCUUAAAAUAUAAACAAAUAUAGGUUAAAUAAAAUAGAUGUAUUUAAUUCAAAUUUUGAAUAAAAUAUAUCAAUUUUUUGAAACUAAACUUUGCUUAUUUUUUUGAAACUAAAUUUUGGUUAUAUUUUGGGCGGAUUCAUAUGUUGUAACCUUCAAAACACGCUUCAUUUAAUGACCAACAAAAUCUCUUCCCACAUUUGCUACUUCAUGAGAAUAUUUAUUUAUGGCUGAUUUGUAUAUCAUCAUAUUCCUCAGCAGCUUCUAUGAUUGUCUCCAAAGAUGGAGAAUUAGAAGGCUUCGUUGGGAAAAUUAUGGGUGCAGGAGCAACCUCCAUCCAAGAACUUAGAUUUCUAAUUCCCUUUGCCAUUGAUGAUAAUAUUAUUAACAAUAACAACAAGCUUUAAUUGUUUUCUUGUUGAAUAUCAAAUUUUGGUAAUGGAAAAAUAAACUUAAUUUCUCUUCUCCUCCUCCUAUGUACAGAAAGAAGAGAGUCCUUGAAAGUAUUUUUGUUUAGAAAAUAUUGAACUAAGAAAUUAGGAUGGUUUUGGAGAUUGUGGUGUGGGCCAAUUAGAC